GGCAGUGGUAGCUCAGUGGCUAAGACAUUAGGCUCCUGAUCGGAAGGUUGAGAGUUCAAAUCCCGGCACUGCCA